ensembl:miRNA
AAGCUUUCGGUGCAUAUGAUGAAGCAAAUCAGUAUGAAUGAUGUCAUGAUACUGUAAACGCUUUCUGAUGUACCACU